GCCAUGCGAGUCACAUAGCAAUAUGUGGCAUACGGCUCAGUAACACGUAGUCAACAUGCCCAGGGGACGUGGAUAACCUCGGGAAACUGAGGAUAAACCGCGAUAGGUCAUUUCUUCUGGAAUGGGUAAUGACCCAAAUCUACAUGGCCCCUGGAUUGGACUGCGGCCGAUCAGGCUGUUGGUGAGGUAAUGGCCCACCAAACCUGUAACCGGUACGGGCUCUGAGAGGAGGAGCCCGGAGAUGGGCACUGAGACAAGGGCCCAGGCCCUAUGGGGCGCAGCAGGCGCGAAACCUCUGCAAUAGGCGAAAGCUUGACAGGGUUACUCUGAGUGAUUUCCGUUAAGGAGAUCUUUUGGCACCUCUAAAAAUGGUGCAGAAUAAGGGGUGGGCAAGUCUGGUGUCAGCCGCCGCGGUAAUACCAGCACCCCGAGUGGUCGGGACGUUUAUUGGGCCUAAAGCAUCCGUAGCCGGUUCUACAAGUCUUCCGUUAAAUCCACCUGCUUAACAGAUGGGCUGCGGAAGAUACUAUAGAGCUAGGAGGCGGGAGAGGCAAGCGGUACUCGAUGGGUAGGGGUAAAAUCCGUUGAUCCACUGAAGACCACCAGUGGCGAAGGCGGCUUGCCAGAACGCGCUCGACGGUGAGGGAUGAAAGCUGGGGGAGCAAACCGGAUUAGAUACCCGGGUAGUCCCAGCUGUAAACGAUGCAGACUCGGUGAUGAGUUGGCUUAUUGCUAACUCAGUGCCGCAGGAAAGCCGUUAAGUUUGCCGCCUGGGGAGUACGGUCGCAAGACUGAAACUUAA
rnacentral:rRNA from 1 species